AACGAACGCUGGCGGCAUGCCUAACACAUGCAAGUCGAACGAUUGCCUUCGGGUGAUAGUGGCGCACGGGUGCGUAACGCGUGGGAAUCUGCCCUUAGGUUCGGAAUAACAGCUGGAAACGGCUGCUAAUACCGGAUGAUAUCGCGAGAUCAAAGAUUUAUCGCCUGAGGAUGAGCCCGCGUUGGAUUAGGUAGUUGGUGGGGUAAAGGCCUACCAAGCCGACGAUCCAUAGCUGGUCUGAGAGGAUGAUCAGCCACACUGGGACUGAGACACGGCCCAGACUCCUACGGGAGGCAGCAGUGGGGAAUAUUGGACAAUGGGCGCAAGCCUGAUCCAGCAAUGCCGCGUGAGUGAUGAAGGCCCUAGGGUGGUAAAGCUCUUUUACCCGGGAAGAUAAUGACUGUACCGGGAGAAUAAGCCCCGGCUAACUCCGU
rnacentral:rRNA from 1 species